AUUGAACGCUGGCGGCAGGCUUAACACAUGCAAGUCGAACGAGUGGCGGACGGGUGAGUAAUGCUUGGGAAUCUAGCUUAUGGAGGGGGAUAACUACGGGAAACUGUAGCUAAUACCGCGUACCAUAGGAUGAGCCCAAGUGGGAUUAGGUGGUGGGUGGGGUAAAGGCUCACCAAGCCGGCGAUCUCUAGCUGGUCUGAGAGGAUGACCGGCCACACGGGGACUGAGACGCGGCCCAGACUCCUACGGGAGGCAGCAGUGGGGAAUGUUGCGCAGUGGGGGCGAGCCUGAUGCAGCCAUGCCGCGUGUGUGAAGAAGGCCUUCGGGUUGUAAAGCACUUUCAGCGGGGAGGCGUUACCCGCAGAAGAAGCACCGGCUAACUCCGUGCCAGCAGCCGCGGUAAUAC
rnacentral:rRNA from 1 species